rnacentral:rRNA from 1 species
AAACCCUCGUACCUUUUGCAUCAUGAUUUAGCCAGUACCCCCAAGCAAAGAGCCCUUUAGUUUGAGACCCCGAAACUGAGGGAGCUACUUCAAGACAGCCUAAAAAUAGGGCUAACCCUUCCCUGUGGCAAAAGGGUGGGACGAGCUUUAAGUAGAGGUGAUAAACCUAACGAACUCAGUUAUAGCUGGUUGCCUAAGAGUUGGAUAUAAGUUCAGCCUCCCGGCUCCUCCCUGAACCAAGAGAGUUAUUCGAAAGAGGUACAGCUCUUUUGAAAAAAGAUACAACUUUAUUAGGAGGUUAAAGAUUAUAUUUUAUAAAGUAACAAUUUUGAGUAGGCUUAGAAGCAGCCACCUCUUUAGAUAGCGUUAAAGCUCAGACAAACAAUUCCUGUAAAUAAUUCUAACACCCCUUUUAUUAUUAGGCCCUUCUAUGUUUUUAAAAUAGAAAAGACCAUGCUAAUAUGAGUAAUAAGAGAGGUCUCUCUCCCCGCACAAGUGUAAGUCGGAACGGACCCUCCACCGAAAAUUAAACAGGCCCAAUCUAAGAGGGAAGUGGGCACCCAUGCAAGAAAACCUCCCCCUGUUAACCUCACACUAGAGUGCUCCCGGAAAGACUAAAAGGGGAGGAAGGAACUCGGCAAAUAAGCUUCGCCUGUUUACCAAAAACAUCGCCUCUUGUAAAAAUAAGAGGUCCUGCCUGCCCAGUGACUAAAAGUUUUAACGGCCGCGGUAUUCUGACCGUGCAAAGGUAGCGUAAUCACUUGUCCUUUAAAUGAAGACCUGUAUGAAUGGCGUCACGAAAGCUUAACUGUCUCCCUCCCCCAGUCAAUGAAAUUGAUCUCCCCGUGCAGAAGCGGGGAUGAAACCAUAAGACGAGAAGACCCUGUGGAGCUUUAGACACCAAGAUCAGCCUUCAUAAAUACCUAAUCAUAACUUAAAUGUAUAAACUAUGUAGCUUCCUGAACGGAUGUCUUCGGUUGGGGCGACCAUGGGGUAAUAAAAAACCCCCAAGCGGACAGAAGCACCUUCCGUAAAUAGGGCUGACAAGCCUAAUUCACAGAACCUCUGACCUAAACAGAUCCGAUGUAAAUCGAUCAACGAAUCAAGUUACCCCAGGGAUAACAGCGCAAUCCUCUUCAAGAGCCCAUAUCGACAAGAGGGUUUACGACCUCGAUGUUGGAUCAGGACAUCCUAAUGGUGCAG